rnacentral:rRNA from 1 species
UACGUAGGUGGCGAGCGUUGUCCGGAUUUACUGGGCGUAAAGAGCGCGCAGGCGGCUGGUCAAGUCCGAUGUGAAAGCUCCCGGCUUAACUGGGAAAUUGCAUCGGAAACUGAUCGGCUGGAAGGUGGGAGAGGGUAGCGGAAUUCCCGGUGUAGCGGUGGAAUGCGUAGAGAUCGGGAAGAACAUCAGUGGCGAAGGCGGCCUGCUGGGCUGUUGCUGACGCUGAGGCGCGACAGCGUGGGGAGCAAACAGG